rnacentral:misc_RNA from 1 species
GUGAAUCAUCAAAUUUUUGAACGCAAAUUGCACUCCCUGGUAUUCCGGGGAGUAUGCCUGUUUGAGGGUCGUUAGAAUAAAAAAUCCAUCCUUCGCUCUUUUUUUUAUGGGUUAUGGCGUUGGAAUUGAGCCGUCUUUCAAAUGUUAAUUCAUGUUAAAGUGGCUUGAAAUUCAUCCAUCCGGUGCGAUUGAAGCUUAUUUAAGAUCAAUAUUCAUC